rnacentral:rRNA from 1 species
GUAAGGAAUAUUGGACAAUGGGGGGAACCCUGAUCCAGCCAUGCCGCGUGGAGGAAGACUGCCCUCUGGGUUGUAAACUCCUUUUAUAUGGGAAGAACCGUCCUCAUUGAUGAGUGACCUGACGGUACCAUAGGAAUAAGCACCGGCUAACUCCGUGCCAGCAGCCGCGGUAAUACGGAGGGUGCAAGCGUUAUCCGGAUUCACUGGGUUUAAAGGGUGCGUAGGCGGAUAUGUAAGUCAGUGGUGAAAUCAACGGGCUCAACCUGGUAACUGCCAUUGAUACUGUGUAUCUUGAAUAUGAGAGAGGUAGGCGGAAUGUUGCAUGUAGCGGUGAAAUGCUUAGAUAUGCUACGGAACACCGAUUGCGAAGGCAGCUUACUAUUUCGUAAUUGACGCUGAGGCACGAAAGCGUGGGUAGCGAACA